rnacentral:rRNA from 1 species
AGAAUCAACGCUGGCGGCGUGCCUAACACAUGCAAGUCGAACGAGAAAGUGGAGCAAUCCAUGAGUACAGUGGCGCACGGGUGAGUAACACGUGACUAACCUACCCUCGAGUGGGGAAUAACCUCGGGAAACCGGGGCUAAUACCGCAUAACAUCCACGGAUCAAAUGCGUAAGCAGCUUGAGGAGGGGGUCGCGGCUGAUUAGCUAGUUGGCGGGGUAAUGGCCCACCAAGGCAGUGAUCAGUAGCCGGCCUGAGAGGGCGCACGGCCACACUGGAACUGAAACACGGUCCAGACUCCUACGGGAGGCAGCAGUGGGGAAUUUUGCGCAAUGGGGGAAACCCUGACGCAGCAACGCCGCGUGGAGGAUUAAGCCCCUUGGGGUGUAAACUCCUUUCGAUCGGGACGAUUAUGACGGUACCGGAGAAGAAGCACCGGCUAACUCUGUGCCAGCAGCCGC